rnacentral:snRNA from 1 species
AUCGCUUCUCGGCUAUCUGAGCUAAGAUCAUGUGUAGUAUCUGUUCUUUGCAGUGUGCGUCGGUGGCACAGCGGUUAGGACUCUCGUCGAUCAUCCACAUGGUCCAGGGUUUGAUCCCCUGCCGACGCACAUGUGAUAUCUGUGGUCGGUCUGCAAAAUUUGGGCUACCGAUGUCAAAUGCUGAAGAUUUCAUACAUGUACCAAAA